rnacentral:rRNA from 1 species
UAGGGAAUCUUCCGCAAUGGGCGAAAGCCUGACGGAGCAACGCCGCGUGAGUGAUGAAGGUCUUCGGAUCGUAAAACUCUGUUAUUAGGGAAGAACAAAUGUGUAAGUAACUAUGCACGUCUUUACGGUACCUAAUCAGAAAGCCACGGCUAACUACGUGCCAGCAGCCGCGGUAAUACGUAGGUGGCAAGCGUUAUCCGGAAUUAUUGGGCGUAAAGCGCGCGUAGGCGGUUUUUUAAGUCUGAUGUGAAAGCCCACGGCUCAACCGUGGAGGGUCAUUGAAAACUGGAAGACUUGAGUGCAGAAGAGGAAAGUGGAAUUCCAUGUGUAGCGGUGAAAUGCGCAGAGAUAUGGAGGAACACCAGUGGCGAAGGCGACUUUCUGGUCUGUAACUGACGCUGAUGUGCGAAAGCGUGGGGAUCAAACAGG